CCCGCUGAACUUAAGCAUAUCAGUAAGCGGAGGAAAAGAAACUAACAAGGAUUCCCCCAGUAACGGCGAGUGAAGCGGGAACAGCCCAUGACGAACCUGCUCUUUGCAACGGGAGCUGGCAUGUGUCGUGGAGCGGCGCUCGAGGAUAGCGCAAGCGUCGCAGGUCCCCUGGAAAGGGGCGGCACAGAGGGUGACACCCCCGUGGCGACGUGCGCGCAGCCCCGCGAGCGCCGCAGCGAGUCGGAUUGUUUGGGAAUGCAAUCCCAAGCAGGUGGUACGCGCCAUCUAAGGCUAAACAGCGGCAAGAGACCGAUAGCAAACAAGUACCGUGAGGGAAAGAUGAAAAGGACUCUGAGGAGAGAGUCAAAAGUGCGUGAAAUUGCGUGGAGGGAAACGAAGGCGCGUGCGCAUGAUCGCCGGCGUCGUGAGCUGCAGGAAUCGGCCUGGGAGGUGCCACACGGCAACGUGCGGACGUACAGCCAGGGCGGAUUGCAGGUCAGGGCACCCGGCGAGGCGCGCGUCUUUGACCCGUCUUGAAACACGG
rnacentral:rRNA from 1 species